rnacentral:rRNA from 1 species
GGACAUGACGUUCCGGGGUCGGCGUGAUUGCGUAGGCGGCAGGCGUGGGUGGGACUUAUUGGGCGUAAAGAGCUCGGAGGCGGCUUGUCGCGUCUGCGGUGAAAACCCGGAGCUCAACUCCGGGCCUGCAGGGGUGACGGGCAGGCGAGAGUGCGGUAGGGGAGAUUGGAAUUCCUGGUGUAGCGGUGGAAUGCGCAGAUAUCAGGAGGAACACCGAUGGCGAAGGCAGAUCUCUGGGCCGUAACUGACGCUGAGGAGCGAAAGCAUGGGGAGCGAACAGGAUUAGAUACCCCGGUAGUC